AAGACUUUAAGUUAAAAAAACUAUAUACCUUCAAAGUAUAAAAUAUUUUAAAAAAUAAGUCUUA
rnacentral:tRNA from 2 species